CCUACGGGUGGCUGCAGUGGGGAAUAUUGGACAAUGGGGGGAACCCUGAUCCAGCCAUGCCGCGUGUGUGAAGAAGGCCCUCGGGUUGUAAAGCACUUUCAGUGAGGAAGAACGCCUGGUGGUUAAUACCCAUCAGGAAAGACAUCACUCACAGAAGAAGCACCGGCUAACUCCGUGCCAGCAGCCGCGGUAAUACGGAGGGUGCGAGCGUUAAUCGGAAUUACUGGGCGAAAAGCGCGCGUAGGUGGCUUGAUAAGCCGGUUGUGAAAGCCCCGGGCUCAACCUGGGAACGGCAUCCGGAACUGUCAAGCUAGAGUGCAGGAGAGGAAGGUAGAAUUCCCGGUGUAGCGGUGAAAUGCGUAGAGAUCGGGAGGAAUACCAGUGGCGAAGGCGGCCUUCUGGACUGACACUGACACUGAGGUGCGAAAGCGUGGGUAGCAAACAGGAUUAGAUACCCUUGUAGUC
rnacentral:rRNA from 1 species